rnacentral:rRNA from 1 species
UACUAGCACGAGUCCGAUAGCGAACAAGUACCGUGAGGGAAAGUUGAAAAGUACUUUGAAGAGAGAGUAAACAGUGCGUGAAACCGUUCAGAGGUAAACAGGUGGAGUUGAACUGCAAGCUCUGAGGAUUCAGCUGGUGAGUAUG